GAAUACAAUUUGCAACAAUUUGCAAUGAUGGCCGCACUGAUGUGUAUUAUACGAGUUGCAUAUUGUUAGUGAACUUAAAAUCUUAUUUUAAAUAAAAAGGGUGCUGUUGUAAUUCUUAAGAUGACGGCUCCACGUGCUUUACCUCAAAGCAAAGAAGCGUUGUUAAAAUCUUACAUGACUAGGCUUAAGGAUGAUGUGAAAUCAAUACUGGAAAAUUUCGAAGAAAUAGUGAAGCUUGCCAAGACCGAAAGCGAUACCCAGCUAUCGCGAAUGACGCAAUGCGAGCAAGAUACAUUUGAAAUGCACGUGAGGGCUGCAAACAUUGUCCGAGCUGGCGAAUCAUUGAUGAAAUUAGUCUCGGACAUCAAGCAGUAUUUGAUUCUAAACGACUUUCCUUCCGUGAACGAAGCCAUAACUCAAAAUAGUAAACUCUUCAGAACGAAACAGGCAGAAUGUGAUCAGAAGUUGGCUUCCUUGAGAGACGACAUGGCUGCUGAUUUGUAUGAUUUGGAAGAAGAAUACUAUACAUCUAUAUACAAAUAGCUCUAGCAAAUGAAGAAAAUUCGGGACUUGAUCCAGAGACUCGAUAUUUUCACGGAAUUGUACAUUGUUUAUUGAAAUAAGUGUAUUCUAAAAGAAUUUAUAACACACAAACAGUACAACACACAAUACCGCUAAUUGGUAGAUAUAUGUAAUAACAUGGACGCAUGAAUUAGAAGGAGCCAGCGUAAUAAUAGGCGCGCAAAGUAAAGCACAACUGGUUCGAGUGGAGUUCCUCCAGGGAUAGUUGAGAGAGACACUGGGUAUUCCAAUUCAGCUUGGUGCCGCUGUACCGAAUUUGGUUGGGUUGAACGAGUUGACGCGAUUUUCAAAUCACAAUUUUAAUUGCCAGAGGAUGGAUUUAAUGCAGGAUAGAGACAAGACCGAUCAUGCAAAUAUUGUAAAUUAUUCGCAAGGUAAUAUGUAUUUCCGAACAUAUAUAUUUUAAAUUUUCAUCUAUAAAAGAAAUAAUAAAAAAUUACACAGUUCAAA